UACGUAGGUGGCAAGCGUUAUCCGGAAUUAUUGGGCGUAAAGAGCGCGCAGGUGGUUGAUUAAGUCUGAUGUGAAAGCCCACGGCUUAACCGUGGAGGGUCAUUGGAAACUGGUCGACUUGAGUGCAGAAGAGGGAAGUGGAAUUCCAUGUGUAGCGGUGAAAUGCGUAGAGAUAUGGAGGAACACCAGUGGCGAAGGCGGCUUCCAGGUCUGUAACUGACACUGAGGCGCGAAAGCGUGGGUAGCAAACAGGAUUAGAUA
rnacentral:rRNA from 1 species